rnacentral:rRNA from 1 species
UACGUAGGUGGCAAGCGUUGUUCGGAAUUACUGGGCGUAAAGGGCGCGUAGGCGGCCUUCUAAGUCGAACGUGAAAUCCCCGGGCUCAACCCGGGAACUGCGUCUGAUACUGGAUGGCUUGAAUUCGGGAGAGGGAUGCAGAAUUCCAGGUGUAGCGGUGAAAUGCGUAGAUAUCUGGAGGAAUACCGGUGGCGAAGGCGGCAUCCUGGACCGAGAUUGACACUGAUGAGCGAAAGCUAGGGGAGCAAACGGG